rnacentral:misc_RNA from 1 species
UUUUUUCCCUUUAAUUUGGCCACUGCUACAGCAGCUAAUCAAGCAUUUGGUGUUUGAAAAUGGAGCACAACUCCCAAAUCCAAAUUCCUAAAGUAAAAUUGGGUACACAAGGGCUUGAGGUCUCGAAACUAGGCUUUGGUUGUUUAGGACUUUCUGGAGUAUUAAAUACUCCUCUGUCACAUGAAGCUGGAUGCUCAAUCUUAAAGGAAACAUUCAAUAAAGGCAUCACCUUCUUUGACACAUCCGAUUUAUAUGGGCAUGAAGGCGACAACGAAAUAAUGAUUGGAAAGGCACUAAAGCAACUUCCUCGUGAGCAAGUCCAACUGGCAACCAAAUUUGGGUUGUUAGUUUCUGAGGGCUUCCAGUUUCAUGUCAAAGGCACUCCGGAAUAUGUACGGAAAUGCUGCGAAGAAAGUCUGAAGCGGCUUGAUGUAGACUACAUUGAUCUAUAUUAUCCUCACAGAAUAGACAGAACUGUGCCAAUAGAGGAAACUAUGGGGGAACUCAAGAAAUUAGUCGAGGAGGGAAAGAUUAGGUACAUUGGCUUAUCGGAAGCCAGUGUGGACACAAUUAAGAGGGCACAUGCUGUUCAUCCCAUUACUGCUGUUCAACUGGAGUAUUCUCUUUGGACCCGUGAUAUAGAAGAGGAUGUAAUUCCUCUUUGUAGGGAACUAGGCAUUGGGAUUGUUGCCUAUAGCCCUCUCGGCCACGGUUUCUUUGCGGGAAAGGCAGUCACAGAAAGCUUGCCUACGGGAAGUAUAAUGGGCUCACACCCAAGGUUUAAUGAACAGAAUUUAGCGAAGAACAAAGUUCUAUACUCACAAUUCGCUAACUUAGCAGCAAAGCAUGGUUGCAGACCACCUCAACUAGCUUUAGCGUGGCUUAUGCAUCAGGGAGACGAUGUGGUUCCAAUACCUGGGACAACAAAGAUCAAGAACCUCAAUGACAAUGUCCAAUCUCUAGGAGUGAAACUUACACCGGACGAUUUGAAGGAAAUUACCGACUCAAUUCCUAUUAGUGAAGUGUGCGGAGAAAGAGAUGAUGCAGUGAUCUCAAAGUACGAUUAUCGGUUUGCUAAUACACCAUUAAAGCAGUAAAAUCGCGUCCGUGAUUACUAGUGUAAAUGAACUAAAUCACCAUUAUGUGUUUCAAUAAGUGAACUCAUCCUUUGAUUGUGUAACCCUUGUCAAUUUAAUUGCCAGGAUAUGGAGUACUAUUAUUAUUUUACAGUUACUUUAUUU